ensembl:lncRNA
CAACCAUUGUAGGAUCCCAUGGUUCCAUGAUCCUAAAGAUUCCUCCCAACCCAACCACUGUAGGAUCUCAUGGUUGUAUGGUCUUUAAAUCCAAACAUUGUGGGAUCCCACAGUGCCAUGAUCCUAAAGGUCCUCUCCACCCCAACCCUUGUAGGAUCCCGUGGUGUUAUGGUCUUUGAGAUCCCUUCCACCCCAACCCUUGUGGGGUCUCAUGGUUCCAUAAUCCUAAAGGUCCUCUCCACCCCAACCCUUGUAGGAUCCCGUGGUGUUAUGAUCUUUAAGGUCCCUUCCACCCCAACCAUUGUAGGAUCCCGUGGUUCCACGAUCCUACAGGUCCUCUCCAACCCAACCCUUGUAGGAUCCCGUGGUGUUUUGAUCUUUAAGGUCCUUUCCACCCCAACCAUUGUAGGAUUCCGUGGUUCCAUGAUCCUAAAGGUCCUCUCCAACCCAACCCUUGUAGGAUCCCGUGGUGUUAAGAUCUUUAAGGUCCCUUCCACCCCAACCAUUGUAGGAUCCCAUGGUUCCACAAUCCUACAGGUCCUCUCCAUCCCAACCGUUGUAGGAUCCCACAGUUCUGUGGUCUUUGAGAUCCCUAAAACCCAAACCUUGCGGGAUCCCACUGUGCCAUGAUCCUAAAGGUCCGCUCCAGCCCAACCCUUCUAGGAUCCCAUGGUGUUAUGGACUUUGAGAUCCCUUCCACACCAACCCUUGUGGGAUCUCAUGGUUCCAUAAUCCUAAAGGUCCUCUCCACCCCAACACUUGUGGGAACUCAUGGUUCCAUGAUCCUAAAGGUCCUCCUACCCCAACCAUUGUAGGAUCCCGCGGUGUUAUUAUCUAAGAUCCCCCCCACCACAACCAUUGUAGGAUCCCGUGUUUCCACGAUCCUAUAGGUCCUCUCCAUCCCAACCCUUGUAGGAUCCCAUGGUGUGAUGAUCUUUCAGGACCCUUCCACCCUAACCAUUGUAGGACCCCGUGGUUCCAUGAUCCUAAAGAUUCCUCCCAACCCAACCACUGUAGGAUCUCAUGGUUGUAUCGUCUUUAAAACACAAACCUUGUGGGAUCCCGCAGUGCCAUGAUCCUAAAGGUCCUCCCAUCCCAACCCUUGUAGGAUCCUGUGGUGUUAUGGUCUUUGAGAUUCCUUCCACCCCAACCCUUGUGGGAUCUCAUGGUUCCACGAUCCUAAAG